rnacentral:rRNA from 1 species
CAGCAGUGGCAGACGGGUGAGUAACACGUGGGAACCUUCCUCGGGGUACGGAACAACUCAGGGAAACUUGAGCUAAUACCGUAUACGUCCGUAAGGAGAAAGAUUCAUCGCCCCGAGACGGGCCCGCGUCGGAUUAGGUAGUUGGUGGGGUAACGGCCUACCAAGCCUACGAUCCGUAGCUGAUCUGAGAGGAUGAUCAGCCACACUGGGACUGAGACACGGCCCAG